rnacentral:lncRNA from 1 species
GCCAGUAGAAUGGCCGCAUCUACGGCUGCCAGUUCCUCGCCGCCCUUCUCCUCCACUUUCUCUACUUUAUCAACCUUCUCCGCCUGCUCCUCUUUGCUGUCUUCCGUGGAGAUUUCCGGUUUCUUGGCCAGCGGCAUUUCCACAUCCUCGGCUGCUGCGACUGCUCCAUUGCCGUUAUUCGAGGCAACGGGCACUUCGUUGGCAUUUGCAUCCUCUGCCUUUUGCUCCUCUUCGAUGCUUAUAACGGGAUUGGGUGUGGGUUCAUCCACAUUGGCAGUCUCUUCGUUUUUGGCCAACGCCACUUCCAUGGACUCUGAUUCUGGUUCUGCAACGCCAUUGUUGGCACUGGAAGUGGUUCCUGCGGUGGAAGGGGCUUCCACUGCAACAGCAGCGGCAGCAGCAGCCUCAUUGGAAAUGGGGGGCGAAACAGCCGGCAUUUCCAUCUCUGUCUCUUCCUGACCGUUGCCGUUGCUCUCGGCGAGAGUGAGCGAGAGCGAAGGAGUGGGUGUGGGUGCAGUCGGAUUUAAAGUGGAAGUGGUGGCACUAGCUGCCGCCUGCUGCUCUACCUCUGACGGCUUUGGCGGCUGCGCAUCCUUAUCCUUCUGCUGCUGCGAUAUCUGCUGGAUGUCUACGAUGCGCUCCUGUCGUUCCAGGCUGCCUUUGACGACUGGAAGUGGUGGCGGCGCCUUCACCGUCAGAAUGCCGUCCGAGGAGAGGGUCGAGUGCACCUCGUUGGGAUCAUAGCCCUUGGGCAGGAUGUACUUGCGGAUGAAGUGGCGCGAGAUCACCCCGUGGCCAUCCUCCUUCUCGUCGUGCUGACCCUCGACCACGAUGCAGUUAUCGAUGGUCUUGACGGUCAGUUCGUUGGCGGCGAACUGCUUCACAUUCAUGCUCACCUGGAAGCCGUUCCUAUUCACCACGGACUCCACCAGCGACUUAUUGCAGCAAGCAGUCUUGGCUCCGGCCACACGAUUGUACGGAUGAUGGCGAUGCUGCGAUGCCGCCGACUGACCCUUGAUGGGCACCCACAUCAUUGCAUUCCCACGCCCCAACCCACGACUCAGCUGUGGCAACUGUGAGGUGGCCUCCAGUGGAUACAACCCGAAUCCGGCCGAAUCAUCUAUAUCCAUUGCCAGGCUGCGAUUGAAAUCGUGCAGCUCCUCGGCCAAAUCUAGUAUGAACGGUCUUGCGGGGAUUGGUGUCGUCUGGGAACCGGCGGCGAUCCGUUCUGGCCUCCAACUGGACUGCGUUUGAGCCCUUAUGGCUGAAUGUCGACGCUUUUAAGCGGCUGUGCAGCGCUGAAUGGAAAACCUGGUCACUUCCAGUCGGCUUCCAUGCCAGCUCCCAGGCGAAAAACUAUGCAACUCCUCCAGAGAACUCACCAAGGGGAAGGGCUACCCAUUAAAACAGUCAGUCAAGCCAUGUACUAUGCCAUUUUCUGCUAUAUACACCGAAAUAAGAGAUACUUUUCCUCUACCGCAGAUAGCCAGAGAACAAAGAAAGUACUCGUACUCGUAGUCGGCAAGAAACCAGACAAACCAAACUGCAACGUUGCAAAACCAAAUAAAAAAGAUACGUAAAAGAGGCAAACCGGCUUGAAAUCGAAGCAUAUAUGCACGAAUAUCCCCCCCAAGAGAUGCCAUCUUCCUUGUACCGGCGAUAUACAUAUAUGUACUCAUAUAUACAAAUAUCCAUAUAGACGGGGUAUAUGUAAAGUGGUCGUGUUGCAGCUGAAUUCCCACUGCCGGCAUUGAGCGAACAGCUGAGAGUCUGAGUCUCGUGCCGGUUGCCGAUGCGGAUUCGAGUCGCCGGCGAUAAACAACUACAACAACAGCUGGCUGGCUGGCUGGCUGGCAGGGCCGCCUGGAAGCUACAAAUCCGCUGUUGCCAGAGCUGGAGGAUUGGCAAGCCGGCGUCGCGUAAACAUGCGCAGUGACAGCGUCUGGGGCAACCCAUACAUAUGGUAUCUCCAUAUACAUUUGUAUCUACAUACAUACAUACAUACCCUGCCACACAGAUGAUGAUGAUAUUGCUGGAUUCGUAUGUGGUUACAUAGCCAAGUGCAAGCGAUGGCAACCGGUUGAAAAGCUCCAAAAUGCAAAAAACAACAACAACACCAACAACAUCCAGACGGGGGCCAGACAGUGGAGACUUUGCUAAAAAUUUACUGGGGCCCCGAACUCAGCUGCGGGAUACAAUUCUGUAUGGCCAUAUAUUAUAUUAUAUAGUAUGUUUGUAUUGAUAUGGUGUAUCUGCCAGCUGCAGUCGGAAAAGAGCAAAAACCUUCAGAGAUUGCUGCGUACGAGAUGCCCCCUUGUACAUACGAUACAUUCCCCAUGUACAUACACACUGGGUACUUGCUCCCAUUUACCUAACCAAGGGGAAGAAAUCCGCCGGACGAGCAUGCUCGCACAUUAUGUGGCCACCUUUUUGAAUAGACAACUUCCACUGCGUUGGCGUUGGAUUGUCCAAGCCCUGGGCACCAAGAGUACUCUACUUCAGUGGAGGAGGAGUGGUGACAAGAAAAUGGGGCCAUAAAUAAAAACUCGAAUUAUAUAACAACCAGAGAUUGAGUUCUAUAGCAAUGCCCAUGUAUUAUAUGGUUAUUCAAUCGCUACUGUAACAACAAAUUGUAAACAAAUUGUCAUUUGAUUUGGUUAUUACGAAGUAAUUCUGAAUUCUAAACAAUGUGUAUAUAAGCUGAAUAUUUAUCAAGUUGUACCAAGCAAAUGUGCAGCUAAAUCUUACAUACAUACAUAUGUAUUUGUCUUAAGAAAUUGGUCAAAUAUAAUAAAAGGUUACAGCCUCGUUUUCAAU